UGCAAAGGUAGCAUAAUCGUUAGUUUUUUAAUUGGAAUCUUGUAUGAAUGGUUGGACAAAAGAAAAUCUGUCUUUAUAUUGUUUAUUGAAUUUAACUUUUAAGUGAAAAGGCUUAAAUAAAUUAAAGGGACGAUAAGACCCUAUAAAGCUUAAUAUUAAUAUUUUACUUGGUUAAAUUUUUUUGCUUAUAAAAACUUAGUAAUUGAAUUUAUUUUAUUGGGGCGAUAAAUGUAAAAUGGCUACUAACUGCUUAAUUUUUUAUACAUCUAUAAAUGAAUUAGAAAAUAAAUGAUCCUUAAUAUAAAGAUUAAAAGUUUAAGUUACUUUAGGGAUAACAGCGUUAUCUUUCUUAAGAGUACAUAUCGAAAGAAAAUUUUGCGACCUCGAUGUUGAAUUAAAAUACCUUUAUAAUUGCAGCAGUUAUAUAAGUAGGUCUGUUCGACCUUUAAAAUUUUACAUGAUU
rnacentral:rRNA from 1 species